rnacentral:rRNA from 1 species
ACUCAAAGGAAUAGACGGGGACCCGCACAAGCGGUGGAGCAUGUGGAUUAAUUCGAUACUAACCGAAGAACCUUACCCAGGUUUGACAUCGAUCGAAAGCUCUAGAGAUAGGGCCUUCCUCCCAAAAGGAGGACGUGAAGACACUUGUUGCAUGGCUGUCGUCAGCUCGUGCCGUGAGGUGUACGGUUAAGUCCGCCAACGAGCGCAACCCACGUCCUGUGUUACCAGCAUGAAAGAUGGGGACUCACAGGAGACCGCCGGUGUAAGCCGGAGGAAGGUGUGGAUGACGUCAAGUCAGCAUGGCAGUUACGCCUGGGGCUUCACACAUGCUACAAUGGGCGAAACAAAGGGCAGCAAUACCGCGAGGUGGAGCAAAUCCCAAAAAUACGCCCCCAGUUCAGAUUGCAGUCUGCAACUCGACUGCAUGAAGGCGGAAUCGCUAGUAAACGCAGGUCAGCUAUACUGCGUUGAAUACGUUCCCGGGUCUUGUACACACCGCCCGU